rnacentral:rRNA from 1 species
ACAAGCGGCGGAGCAUGCGGAUUAAUCGAUGCAACGCGAAGAACCUUACCAAGGCUUGACAUGCACCGGUAACGCCCAGAGAUGGGUGCCCCCUUGUGGUCGGUGUACAGGUGGUGCAUGGUUGUCGUCAGCUCGUGUCGUGAGAUGUUGGGUUAAGUCCCGCAACGAGCGCAACCCUCGUCCUAUGUUGCCAGCGGGUCAUGCCGGGGACUCAUGGGAGACUGCCGGGGUCAACUCGGAGGAAGGUGGGAUGACGUCAAAUCAUCAUGCCCCUUAUGUCUUGGGCUUCACGCAUGCUACAAUGGCCGGUACAAAGGGCUGCGAUACCGCGAGGUGGAGCGAAUCCCAGAAAGCCGGUCUCAGUUCGGAUUGGGGUCUGCAACUCGAGAGCAUGAAGUCGGAAUCGCUAGUAAUCGCGGAUCAGCAUGUCGCGGUGAAUACGUUCCCGGGUCUU